rnacentral:rRNA from 1 species
CACGUAGGGCGCAAGCGUUUGUCCGGAAUUAUUGGGCGUAAAGAGCUCGUAGGCGGUCUGUUGCGUCCGCUGUGAAAACUCGGGGCUUAACCCCGGAGCCUGCAGUGGAUACGGGCAGACUAGAGGUAGGUAGGGGAGAAUGGAAUUCCCGGUGUAGCGGUGAAAUGCGCAGAUAUCGGGAGGAACACCGGUGGCGAAGGCGGUUCUCUGGGCCUUACCUGACGCCUGAGGAGCGAAAGCGUGGGGAGCGAACAGG